rnacentral:tRNA from 1 species
GGCCUGUGCCGCUGGGCUUGAGGGCCGGCGGGGAGCCGGAGAUCGCGGGUUCAAGUCCCGCCCUCGGCCUCCA